AUGAAGAAGAAGAAGAAACUAUGAAAAACUUAUUCCUUUCAGUUAUUUGUCAAACUUUCCACAACAAACGCAAGGGCAGGGGCAAGCAAUGGAUCAGAAAGCAGAAAGCAACACGGUGAAGAAGAUAAUGUCACCCUGCGAUGUUGAGGCAUUAAAGAAAUGCUUGGAAGAGAACAAGGGGGACUAUGUGAAAUGCCAAUCUCAAAUAGAGGCUUUCAAGUCAUCUUGUUCAAUCAAGAAGCCAAACCCAUCUCAGGAAUCUGCACCACCGCUCAACUCUGGUUUAAGGACAUAGCCUUCUGUUUUCCAGAAGUUGGAGUUGGAGAGAAAUGCUGGAAAAAUGGAGAAUGCCAAGAAUGAAAAAAAGGGUCUCCAUCCAGUGCCUAGACAAUGCCAAUUUCAAUUGGAAGCCUUGAGGUCCUUUGAUUCUCUUAGGAAAAACAUAACCUGCUUUCGAUUGGUAGCAUAUUUAGACAGUGACACUUUUGUUUUAAGAGCUAUGUUGUUGCAACAUUGGUUUUGGUUGAUGUUAUUCAAUGAAUGUGCAUUGUGAGGAAA